rnacentral:tRNA from 1 species
GGGCCGUUAGCUCAGUUGGUAGAGCAGCUGACUCUUAAUCAGCGGGUCGUAGGUUCGAAUCCUACACGGCUCACCA